rnacentral:lncRNA from 1 species
UUUCAAUCCUACAUUUAAGGGAGCGUUUGGUUCGAAUUAUUUAAUAUUACAAAGUAUUUCGAUAUAUCCAGAUAUCUUAAAUUUCUAAAUGAGAUUACUACUAAUAUUGCAUUAGUGCGUUUAGUUUAAUACAAUAAUGUAAUGCUGGAUUGCAGUGUUUAUAGCGUUAUUAUGUUUGGUUCUAUUUAUAAAAUUUAGUAACCUAGACAAUAAAGUAUAGUCUAUUCUAAAAUUGCUCUUAGUAAUAUUUCGUAAACUUUUUCUUACUGUUUACAAACAAUAUUUUUUUUACCAAAUUUUAUUUUAAAUAAUUUAAUUUUUUAAUUUAAAGGCCGAAAAGCAAAUGGGAGCACUUAGGAUAUAAAUUUAAUAUUUUAAUUUAAAAUAUAAAUAUGAAAUUUCUAAAUUUAAAAUCUAAAAUUUAAAUAUAAAUAUAUAUAAAAUAAAAAAAUUAAAAUCUAAAUUUAAAAUUCAGAAUUUAAAANUAAUUUAAAAUAUAAAUUUGUUUUUAAAAUUUAAAAUUUAAAAUUUAAAAUUUGAAAUUUGAGAAAUUUGAAAUUUAAAAUUUAAAAUUUAAAACUUAUAAUUUAAAAUCUAAAAUUUUAAUUUUAAUUUAAAAUUUAAAAUUUAAAUUUGAAUUUUAAAAAUUUAAAAUUUAAAAAUUAAAAAUUUAAAUUUGAAAAUUAAAAAUUAAAAAUUAAAAGUUGACAAUUCAAAAUUAUUAAUUAAAUUUUUUAAAAAACAUAUUGAAAGGGUUUCAGGAGUUAGAGGGUAAAAUUGUCAUUUUACAUAAUAUAUAGUAUUACCCGGUUUCAGUAAUACAAGAUACACGACCCCUCUCUCGACCGCUCUCUCGUUAAUAUUUUUCGUGUAAUCCUGCUCGAUUUGUAAUACUACAUUAACGAUUAGAUUACAUAGUGGAUGAACCAGACACAAUAAUCCUAAUAAGAUUGCCUGUAAUUCUGUCAGGAUAACUCGAACCAAACGCACCCUAAUUCUUAUCUAGCUUUCAUCCAAUAUCUUUUAAUCUAAUUUUUUGAAAAAAAUUAUUGAAUUUAUACCAUACACCACUAGGGACCAACACAUAGCUAGAUAAUCAUACAAAAGAAGAAAGAAAAUUUGAACUCUUUGCUAUCAAUCCAAUAAAUAAAAAAAUUAUGCCGUAUAGAUUACUUAAUCAGUUAUUCUAACAUCCAAAUAGAACUUUCAUAUUUCCAUCAAGCUAUGUCCGGUAUUUUUUUUAUCCAAUUUUUUAAAUUUUACUAUAUUUAUACCAUCCGUUAAGGAACAGCACAUAUCCGAGCAAUCAUAUCCAAAAAAACAACAAGUCAAACUCUUUAUUUUUAGCUAUACUUUAACUUAUAUAAAAAAAAAUUCAUACUGAAUAAAUUAUUUAAUUUAAUUAGU